CUCCACAGUCGGGGUCAUCGUGACCUACGACUGAAACUUGCUUGAUGAAAGACUCCACUAAGAAAACGCUUUUGUAUUCUCAUGGAGAGCACAGGCUUGGAUGCUCUGCUUCGUUGAGGCUUCUGUUCAAACAAAUAAGGAGGUCUAUGUGCAUGUGUGCGUGUAAGAGUGAUGGGCCGCAGGCUUUGUCAUGUGUCGUCUGAGUCUUUGCUACGCUAACCUGAACUCCCACAGCAAGGUCCCACAUGUAAAAGAGCAGUGUUCUUGGAGAAAUCAGCUUGACCACCAUGAGAACGGUGCAUAGAUGGGAACAUGCUGUAUUUUGGGAGUGGGUGGGAGGUUCCAG
rnacentral:lncRNA from 1 species